AUGCCGGGGUGGGGGGUGCGCCAACCGGAGGCAGAGGGCCGAGGCCGCAUGCUUCGAGACCUUGGCACCAGAAGGCGCCACCAGGAUGAGGAGGGCACAACAAGGAGGGGAGAGGGGCGAGCUUGUUGCGGACCACCAUCUGUGGUUGUACCGCCUCCGGCCACACAGUCUAACAUGCCCAGGGCCUCCGCCGUUGCUCACCGCAGCAUCAAGCGUCGGUUGAAUCGCCGCUCACUGUCCCAUGGUAGAGCACCGACCGUGCAUCACACCGCAACCCACCUGCCUGGAGCCACCGCCCCAUGGCCAUGA
rnacentral:rRNA from 1 species